UGAAGAAUAUUGCGCAAUGGGGGCAACCCUGACGCAGCAACGCCGCGUGAAGGAUGAAGGUUUUCGGAUUGUAAACUUCUUUUAUCAAGGACGAAGGACGUGACGGUACUUGAUGAAUAAGCCACGGCUAACUACGUGCCAGCAGCCGCGGUAAUACGUAGGUGGCAAGCGUUAUCCGGAUUUACUGGGUGUAAGGGCGAGUAGGCGGGCAGACAAGUCAGAUGUGAAAUCUGGGGGACUUAACCCCCAAAGCUGCAUUUGAAACUGUAGGUCUUGAGUGUGGAGAGGCAGGCGGAAUUCCCGGUGUAGCGGUGGAAUGCGUAGAUAUCGGGGAGGAACACCAGUGGCGAAGGCGGCCUGCUGGACAUUAACUGACGCUGAGGAGCGAAAGCGUGGGGAGCAAACAGGAUUAGAUACCC
rnacentral:rRNA from 1 species